GAUGAACGCUAGCGGCAGGCCUAACACAUGCAAGUCGAGGGAGAAGCCCUUCGGGGCGGAAACCGGCGCACGGGUGCGUAACGCGUAUGCAACCUACCUUUCACAGGGGGAUAGCCCGAAGAAAUUUGGAUUAAUACCCCAUAAUAUUGUUGGAUGGCAUCAUUUGGCAAUUAAAACUGAGGUGGUGAAAGAUGGGCAUGCGUCCUAUUAGCUAGUUGGAGUGGUAACGGCACCCCAAGGCUACGAUAGGUAGGGGUCCUGAGAGGGAGAUCCCCCACACUGGUACUGAGACAGGGACCAGACUCCUACGGGAGGCAGCAGUGAGGAAUAUUGGUCAAUGGUCGGAAGACUGAACCAGCCAUGCCGCGUGCAGGAAGAAUGCCUUAUGGGUUGUAAACUGCUUUUAUAUGGGAAGAAUAAGGUGUACGUGUACAUGANGACGGUNCCA
rnacentral:rRNA from 1 species